rnacentral:lncRNA from 1 species
AUGUCUCUCAGCAUCAGUUUCCCCAUCUAUAAAAUGCUGAUAAUAGUAGCACCAACCUCCCAAGGUUAUCAUGAGGAUCAAGUGAGAAAACAUUUAUCCCAUUAUUCUAGCUCCAGAUCUAAGCCAGGACAAGAAAAGAAGGGGCUUGAGCAGCCCCUGAAAAGGCUCGGAGUGGAGGGGAUUCACUCCAGCUCUCUGUGGCAGAUAAAAACCAAGAGACUCAGCUUUCUGGGAAUGGCAGGUACCUGGUUACUGAAGUUCAUUUUGUCCUUAGAUGUCUACUCCUCCUUUGUUGAUCUUGCUAUGGGCUUUGGCUUUCGUUUGUAUAACUUCCUCCAAGGGUGACCAACUCUACCUCAUCCCAUUGACAUUGCCCAUGGAGUUUUCUUGGUGAAGAUACUGGAGUGGAUUGCCAUUUCCUUUUCCAGUGUGUCUGAUUUUACAGAUAAGGAACUGAGGCAAAUAGGGAUUGACUUGCCCAGAUUCACAUGACUAGUAAGUCUCUGAAUCCAGAUUUGAACUCAGUUCUUCCUGACUCCAGACCUAGGAUCAUUACCCUUAAUACAAUAUAUCCCCCUGCCCCUGAGUAAUGAAAAUAGACUUCUCCCAAAGUCCAAGAGGAUAGCACUGUCUUGACACCACCCAAGAAUCUUCAAAGAUCAUAGCUGCAUCACAUGCAUAGAAAGAUGGCAGAACAGAAGCAAAAGGAAGUGAAAUUGCUUGUCUGUGGCUAAUGAGCAGAAAUGAAUGUUGGUAUAUAACUCCAAAUGUUCAACAUCUGGGUU